GUAGGUGGCAAGCGUUGUCCGGAAUUAUUGGGCGUAAAGCGCGCGCAGGCGGUUCUUUAAGUCUGAUGUGAAAGCCCACGGCUCAACCGUGGAGGGUCAUUGGAAACUGGAGAACUUGAGUACAGGAGAGGAAAGCGGAAUUCCACGUGUAGCGGUGAAAUGCGUAGAGAUGUGGAGGAACACCAGUGGCGGAGGCGGCUUUCUGGUCUGUAACUGACGCUGAGGCGCGAAAGCGUGGGGAGCAAACAGGGAUUAGAUACCCUGGUAGUCCACGCCGUGAACGAUGAGUGCUAAGUGUUAGGGGGUUUCCGCCCCCCUUAGUGCUGCAGCUAACGCACUAAGCACUCCGCCUGGGAGUACGGCCGCUAGGCUG
rnacentral:rRNA from 1 species